rnacentral:tRNA from 1 species
GGCAAGAUUAUUGUACUGGUAAUCCAAAAACUCUGGGUUCUAGUCCCAGUUUUGCCA